UUACCAUGUCUGACUUUUAAUUAGAAGUUACAAUUUUUAGUUCAUUUUGUGUUUAAUAUGAAGAUUAAAAUAAAAUGAAUUAGAAGCAUUGAAUAUUGCAUACAAUAUACAUAAGACAAAAGAGGUAGAUUUGCAAUAUACAAUUUGUAUUCAAAUCUAUACUUUUUAAACAUAUCUUCAAUAAUUAAAUUUUACAACUUCAAUAUUUCAACCAUUUGUGUACGUUUCCCCAUCAAAUGUUCAUAUU
rnacentral:lncRNA from 1 species